CAUAAACAGAAAUUUGGCAUCAGGCAGCCAUUUGGGGUGUGACCUGUUUCAGGAGGAGCCAAGUUGGAAACCAAAAGCAGAAGGACUCACUUUUAUAGGGAAAGACGAGUGGAGGGAAGUAUUUGGCGAUGGGGGAAGGACCUGGCAAUGAGCUGACUUCUACCAAAGCAACCUGGAUCACGAAGCCAGCGGAGAGCCCGGGACCUGGUUGACUCUGCAAACAGCAGUUGGGUAGGACUAAACGAGGGCAGAAAAGGAGAAGAAGCAGUACCUACAAAAUGGUCUGAAUUGUGGAAAAAGGAAGAAAAGAUCACACUCAAGCAUAAAUUGGAGGAGAAGACACUAAAAGUUGGCAGAGGUUAUA